GAUGAACGCUGGCGGCGUGCUUAACACAUGCAAGUCGAACGAAACACCUUAUUUGAUUUUCUUCGGAACUGAAGAUUUGGUUAUUGAGUGGCGGACGGGUGAGUAACGCGUGUGUAACCUGCCCUGUACAGGGGGAUAACAGUCAGAAAUGACUGCUAAUACCGCAUAAGACCACAGCACCGCAUGUUGCAGGGGUCAAAACUCCGGUGGUACAGGAUGGAUCCGCGUCUGAUUAGCUGGUUGGUGAGGUAACGGCUCACCAAGGCGAAGAUCAGUAGCCGGCUUGAGAGAGUGAACGGCCACAUUGGGACUGAGACAAGGACCAAACUCCUACGGGAGGAAGAAGGGGGGAAUAUUGAACAAUGGGGGAAACACUGAGGCAGCGACGCCGCGUGAGUGAAGAAGUAUUUCGGUAUGUAAAGCUCUAUCAGCAGGGAAGAAAAUGACGGUACCUGACUAAGAAGCCCCGGCUAACUACGUG
rnacentral:rRNA from 1 species